rnacentral:piRNA from 1 species
UGUCGUGAUGUAGAAUCUGCCUGUGAUC